rnacentral:tRNA from 1 species
GGGCUGUUCGUCCAACGGGAGGACGCCGCCAUCGCACGGCGGAGAUAACGGUUCGAGCCCGUUACGGUCCA